CACGUAGGGGGCGAGCGUUGUCCGGAUUUAUUGGGCGUAAAGAGCUCGUAGGCGGUUGCGGAAGUCGGAUGUGAAAUACCGGGGCUCAACUCCGGGGCGCCAUUCGAUACUCCGCUGACUCGAGUCCGGUAGGGGAAGGUGGAAUUCCUGGUGUAGCGGUGAAAUGCACAGAUAUCAGGAGGAACACCGGUGGCGAAGGCGGCCUUCUGGGCCGGUACUGACGCUGAGGAGCGAAAGCUAGGGGAGCGAACAGG
rnacentral:rRNA from 1 species